GACGAACGCUGGCGGCGUGCUUAACACAUGCAAGUCGAGCGGUAAGGCCUUUCGGGGUACACGAGCGGCGAACGGGUGAGUAACACGUGGGUGAUCUGCCCUGCACUUCGGGAUAAGCCUGGGAAACUGGGUCUAAUACCGGAUAUGACCUCCUAUCGCAUGGUGGGUGGUGGAAAGAUUUAUCGGUGCAGGAUGGGCCCGCGGCCUAUCAGCUUGUUGGUGGGGUAAUGGCCUACCAAGGCGACGACGGGUAGCCGACCUGAGAGGGAGACCGGCCACACUGGGACUGAGACACGGCCCAGACUCCUACGGGAGGCAGCAGUGGGGAAUAUUGCACAAUGGGCGAAAGCCUGAUGCAGCGACGCCGCGUGAGGGAUGACGGCCUUCGGGUUGUAAACCUCUUUCAGCAGGGACGAAGCGCAAGUGACGGUACCUGCAGAAGAAGCACCGGCUAACUACGU
rnacentral:rRNA from 1 species